UUCAUCACAAAGAUCUCACUGGUUCUGGUUAUGAGUUUGGGUUAGUCGUUCCAUCUUAACUUUUUCAUCAAAAAAACAAACAGUGCAAUUAUACAAUGAGCGUUACUUAGGGUGGAAAGACCAGAGGUUUUCACAAUCCAUUGGAGUGUUUUCUGCCAUGAUAUGAAAAAUACACAAAAUAGCUAUAAAGAACUGUAAUCAACUGGAGAAACUCAAACUGGUGACGUCAUGAAACAGGUUCAACUGAAUAUCUGACAUCCACACUAAAUUCCUAAUUGAAGAAAAAUUCUGCUGACUUGGUUAGAACCUGAGAGUUGGAAGCCAAAGAAAAGGUUACUCCUGAGUAGUAAAGGGUACUAAGAAUUAACAAUGAAGUUUCUACAAUAGAGAAUGGUUAAUUUUAGAUAUAGACAAUUUUGAUUGAAUUACAGAUAGAAUGAAAGAAAA